rnacentral:rRNA from 1 species
AUUGAACGCUGGCGGCAUGCCUUACACAUGCAAGUCGAACGGUAGAGGGGGCAACCCCUCGAGAGUGGCGAACGGGUGAGUAAUAUAUCGGAACGUGCCCAGUCGUGGGGGAUAACGUAGCGAAAGUUACGCUAAUACCGCAUACGAUCUAAGGAUGAAAGCGGGGGAUCGCAAGACCUCGCGCGAUUGGAGCGGCCGAUAUCAGAUUAGGUAGUUGGUGGGGUAAAGGCUCACCAAGCCAACGAUCUGUAGCUGGUCUGAGAGGACGACCAGCCACACUGGAACUGAGACACGGUCCAGACUCCUACGGGAGGCAGCAGUGGGGAAUUUUGGACAAUGGACGCAAGUCUGAUCCAGCCAUUCCGCGUGCAGGAUGAAGGCCCUCGGGUUGUAAACUGCUUUUGUACGGAACGAAAAGGUCUCUCUUAAUACGGGGGGCUCAUGACGGUACCGUAAGAAUAAGCACCGACUAACUACGUGCCAGCAGCCGCCGUAA